GACCCUUAGGAGCUUUUCAUGUGAUUAAAUUAAGAUAUUCACUUGCACACAUCUACUACACCAUCCACCACCAUUCAUUAAAAUUGCUAAAAAAUAUUAUUAUCACUCACUGUCCCAAGUAUUGUUAUUAUCUCUCUCUAAAAAGAUUCAAUGCAGAAAAGGCACGGGUUAUGCAAAAAUAUGUGAGGAAAUAAAAAGGGACAAGUGCUCGGAACCUCGAAAAAAAAGAGUGAGACGAGAGGUAAAAAUGGACAAGUGUCCGGAGUAGAAUUAGGGGUACAAAGAUGCCCACUUGAGCGGAAAAAAUGGACAAGUGUCCGAUAGUAGAAUUAGGGAUGUCUACUACCCACCGGAAAAAGAAAAGAAAAAAGAUAGCCCAUGUUCUCCCAAAGCAAAGAUCAAAGAAGAGGAGAGAUAGCAAUAUGAGGAGCAAUGAGAAGUAAGUUUUAUCAUCACUUAGACAUUUUACCAUUACUAUAAUUUACUCCACCACACAUCUUGAUUUAAUUAUAUGCUG
rnacentral:lncRNA from 1 species